rnacentral:tRNA from 1 species
UGUAGUUCAGUUGGUUAGAGCGUCAGAUUGUGGUUCUGAAUGUCCAGGGUUCGAGUCCCUGCGGGCA